rnacentral:rRNA from 1 species
GACGAACGCUGGCGGCGUGCCUAAUACAUGCAAGUCGAACGCAGAGGCGAGGAGCUUACUCUUCUUGGAUGAGUUGCGAACGGGUGAGUAACGCGUAGGUAACCUGCCUUGUAGCGGGGGAUAACUAUUGGAAACGGGAGCUAAUACCGCAUAACAAUGGGUGACGCAUGGUUUUUAUUUGAAAGGGGGAAUUGCUCCACUACAUGAUGGAUUUGCGGUGUAUUAGCUAGGAGGUGAGGGAAUGGCUCACCUAGGCGAAGAUACAGAGCCGACCUGAGAGGGUGGUCGGCCACACUGGGAAUGAGACACGGCCCACAGUCCUACGGGAGGCAGCAGUAGGGAAUCUUCGGCAAUGGGGGCAAACCUGACCGGGCAACGCGGCGUGAGUGAAGAAGGUUUUCGGAUCGUAAAGCUCUGUUGUAAGUCGAGAACGGGUGUGAGAGUGGAAAGUUCACCCUGUGACGGUAGCUUACCAGAAAGGGACGGCUAACUACGUG